AUUCAGCUGACGAGUCCCAAAUGGAACGAAACGCGGGUCAUGGAU
rnacentral:hammerhead_ribozyme from 1 species